rnacentral:rRNA from 1 species
AGACAGUGAGUAGCUUGCUCCGGCCGAUUUAGUGGCGGACGGGUGAGUAACGCGUGGGUAACCUGCCUCAUACAGGGGGAUAGCAGUUGGAAACGACUGCUAAUACCGCAUAAGCGCACAGCUUCGCAUGAAGCAGUGUGAAAAACUCCGGUGGUACAAGAUGGACCCGCGUCUGAUUAGCUGGUUGGUGAGGUAACGGCCCACCAAGGCGACGAUCGGUAGCCGGACUGAGAGGUUGAACGGCCACAUUGGGACUGAGACACGGCCCAGACUCC